UACGUAGGGUGCGAGCGUUGUCCGGAAUUAUUGGGCGUAAAGAGCUCGUAGGCGGUUUGUUGCGUCGGCUGUGAAAUCCCGAGGCUCAACCUCGGGUCUGCAGUCGAUACGAGCAAACUAGAGUGUUGCAGGGGAGACUGGAAUUCCUGGUGUAGCGGUGAAAUGCGCAGAUAUCAGGAGGAACACCCGUGGCGAAGGCGGGUCUCUGGGCAACAACUGACGCUGAGGAGCGAAAGCGUGGGGAGCAAACAGG
rnacentral:rRNA from 1 species